UACGGAGGAUCCAAGCGUUAUCCGGAUUUAUUGGGUUUAAAGGGUGCGUAGGCGGAUUGAUAAGUUAGAGGUGAAAUGUCCGAGCUCAACUCGUGAACUGCCUCUAAUACUGUUGAUCUAGAGAGUAGAUGCGGUAGGCGGAAUGUAUGGUGUAGCGGUGAAAUGCUUAGAGAUCAUACAGAACACCGAUUGCGAAGGCAGCUUACCAAUCUAUAUCUGACGUUGAGGCACGAAAGCGUGGGGAGCAAACAGG
rnacentral:rRNA from 1 species